GUUACAGCAUGAAUUCAAUUUUUAUUCUUUUCUAUAUUGUAGUCUUUCCAAUGGAUGUUAAGUGGGUAUGAUCAUAAAUUUACUUACUAGUCCUGUGAUUACACAGUCAGGCUACUUUUCAUUUUUCACUACUAUAAAAAAUUUUGUGAAGGAACUAUUUAUGCAUGUAGCUAAUGCCGCAGUCUGGCCAGGUACAAAUAACCGAGCCCCCACAAGGCACUUGUAGGUUCAAACAGCAGCUACUUUAUUGCCCGAACUCUCACCCGCACUCCACACACGCUUCCCAGGAACUCUCUCACCCUCCACCUCUCAACGAACCCCGAGAGAACUCAAUGGGAACUCCAAAGUAGGGGCGCCCGAGGCAGCAGGAGCCCUAUUCCAGGAGCCGCCCUAUUCCAGGAGCCUCCCUAUUGCCGGUCAGCAGGGUCCAUAUACAACUCAAUACACAGCCUGUUUCAAUCCAGCAUCAUCCAGUCACAGCAAUUAUAACUUAAUUAUCAUCAUCUUAAUGGCUCGCUGGCUCAUCUCUUAACCACUCCUUCUGGGAAAAUACCAUGAGCCAUCCCUACUCGGCUGUGGCCCUCAACAGCUUCCUUCCCAUAUUUUUAUAUUAGAAGUUAGAAUACUUUUAACUUAAAAUAUAUCAGAAUAUAGGCAUGUAUUAUUCUUGACAUGUAUUGCCAAAUCACUUUUCAAAGGGCUGUACCAAUUUAGAUAUACUACUGUCAACACCAUGUAUGACUAUUUGCCAUUUAUUUAUUUAUUUAUAUGGUGCUGGGAAUGAACAAUAGACAAAGUCUCAACCACUGAG
rnacentral:lncRNA from 1 species